AGACUGAAGAACAGCUGUUUGAAAAAGUCAACACCUACUCCUCCAGCACCACAUAUCUACUCAUGUACAGAGAAAAAACAGCCCGCAGAGUUAAACCUGAAAG